GAUAGGUUAUGAUAAAGCUCUUGCUGCACGAACCAGAAGUGGUGUCAUAGCAGUGGUUUUACAUUCUUUACACAGAAGAACUAUAUUUGCUCUGCCUAGAACAUUUGCUUAAAACAAAUGAUCCCAGCAUCAAAUGGGUUUGGGCUGCACAUUUCAAGAAGCGCUUGUUUUCUGGCAUUGCUAAUGUGGGAACAAAGAAAUGACAAGGAUUGUGUGGAGAGUGCUGCUGCUCCAAGUUAAGGACAUCACGUGAGCAAAGAUGGAAUUUGACAUCUGAAGGUUAUUUGCUGUUAUUUCCAGCAGUGAGGUGAGGGAACCUGAUUUUGUUGUUUUGUUUGCUAAGAAAGAAACUUACAUUCAUUUCUAGUGAGGCAAAUAGUCAGGUACUGAGGAGAAGGGACAGCCAGAAGUAUCGUUUGAACCCUUAUCCCCCAGCACCUCCAAAUCUUGGGCACUGACAGUCAAAGGCUUCCUCUAAGUCAAGACUUUGGAAUC
rnacentral:lncRNA from 1 species